rnacentral:rRNA from 1 species
ACCUUCAGCAUACGCUCCCGCGUGUACUGGUCCGGCCGGGCCUUUCCUUCUGGGGAACCUCAUGCCCUUCACUGGCCGUGUUGGGGAACCAGGACUUUUACUUUGAAAAAAUUACAGGGUUCAAAGCAGGCCUUUGCUCGAAUACAUUAUCAUGGAAUAAUAAAAUAGGACGGGUGGUUCUAUUUUGUUGGUUUCUAGGACCGCCGUAAUGAUUAAUAGGGAUAGUUGGG